rnacentral:ncRNA from 2 species
CACUUAUCAAGAGCGACUGAGGGAAUAGGCCCGUUGACGUCCAGCAACCUCCACUUUUUGGAAGGUGCCAAAUCCUACAGAAUCAUUCUAUUCUGGAAGAUAAGUC